GACGAACGCUGGCGGCGUGCUUAACACAUGCAAGUCGAGCGGUAAGGCCCUUUCGGGGGUACACGAGCGGCGAACGAGUGAGUAACACGUGGGUGACCUGCCCUCAGCUCUGGGAUAAGCCUGGGAAACUGGGUCUAAUACUGGAUAUGACUCCACGGUGCAUGUCGUGGGGUGGAAAGCCUUGUGCGGCUGAGGAUGGGCCCGCGGCCUAUCAGCUUGUUGGUGGGGUGAUGGCCUACCAAGGCGACGACGGGUAGCCGGCCUGAGAGGGCGACCGGCCACACUGGGACUGAGACACGGCCCAGACUCCUACGGGAGGCAGCAGUGGGGAAUCUUGCGCAACUGGGCGAAAGCCUGACGCAGCGACGCCGCGUGAGGGAUGACGGCCUCGG
rnacentral:rRNA from 1 species